CGAAAGCCUGACGGAGCAAUACCGCGUGAGGGAGGAAGGCUCUUGGGUUGUAAACCUCUUUUCUCAGGGAAGAAAUCUGACGGUACCUGAGGAAUUAGCAUCGGCUAACUCCGUGCCAGCAGCCGCGGUAAUACGGAGGAUGCAAGCGUUAUCCGGAAUGAUUGGGCGUAAAGCGUCCGCAGGUGGCAGUUCAAGUCUGCUGUCAAAGACCGGGGCUCAACCCUGGAAAGGCAGUGGAAACUGAACAGCUAGAGUGCGGUAGGGGCAGAGGGAAUUCCCAGUGUAGCGGUGAAAUGCGUAGAGAUUGGGAAGAACACCGGUGGCGAAAGCGCUCUGCUAGACCGCAACUGACACUCAGGGACGAAAGCUAGGGGAGCGAAUGGGAUUAGAUACCCCAGUAGUCCUAGCCGUAAACGUUGGAUACUAGGCGUUGCUCGUAUCGACCCGAGCAGUGUCGUAGCUAACGCGUUAAGUAUCCCGCCUGGGGAGUACGCCGGCAACGGUGAAACUCAAAGGAAUUGACGGGGGCCCGCGCAAGCGGUGGAGUAUGUGGUUUAAUUCGAUGCAACGCGAAGAACCUUACCAAGACUUGACAUGUCGCGAACCCUGCUGAAAGGUGGGGGUGCCUUCGGGAGCGCGAACACAGGUGGUGCAUGGCUGUCGUCAGCUCGUGUCGUGAGAUGUUGGGUUAAGUCCCGCAACGAGCGCAACCCUCGUUUUCAGUUGCCAGCGGGUAAAGCCGGGCACUCUAGAGAGACUGCCGGUGACAAACCGGAGGAAGGUGGGGAUGACGUCAAGUCAGCAUGCCCCUUACGUCUUGGGCAACACACGUACUACAAUGCUACGGACAAAGGGCAGCAAGUUAGCAAUGACAAGCAAAUCCCACAAACCGUGGCUCAGUUCAGAUUGGAGGCUGCAACUCGCCUCCAUGAAGUCGGAAUCGCUAGUAAUUGCAGGUCAGCAUACUGCAGUGAAUUCGUUCCCGGGCCUUGUACACACCGCCCGUCACACCAUGGAAGCUGGACACGCCCGAAGUCGUUACCCUAACCGCAAGGAGGGGGACGCCGAAGGCAGGGCUGGUGACUGGGGUGAAGUCGUAACAAGGUAGCCGUACCGGAAGGUGUGGCUGGAUCACCUCCUUUACAGGGAGACCUACCCCAUCGGUAUCGAAAGAAAAUCUAGAGAUAACGAUGAGGUCACCCCUAAGGUCGGUCGAGGAAAUGGUGUGGCUUUUCAACUAUAAUCGGUUCGGUAUCAUAGUCGGGGCUAUUAGCUCAGGUGGUUAGAGCGCACCCCUGAUAAGGGUGAGGUCCCUGGUUCGAGUCCAGGAUGGCCCACCUAAACUUGUGGAUACUACUGACAGCAAAGUGACUGGAAAAACCCCAGUCAGACUGCUGGCAUGUGAACCAGCCAGAACCUUGAAAACUGCAUAAGUAACGCGUUAAAGCAAGCAGAUACAGCCGUAGUAAGCGCGAAAGCUGUAAUGCUUGCUGUGUAUAAACCAAUGUGGUCAAGCUAAUCAGGGCUGACGGUGGAUACCUAGGCACACAGAGGCGAAGAAGGACGUGGCGACCGACGAAAAGCUCCGGGGAGCUGGAAGCAAGCAUCGAGCCGGAGAUCUCCGAAUGGGGCAACCCUAAAUACUACCUGCUGAAUAUAUAGGCAGGCUUGAGCCAACCCAGCGAACUGAAACAUCUUAGUAGCUGGAGGAACAAAAAGAAAAAUCGAUUCCCUAAGUAGUGGUGAGCGAACAGGGAACAGCCUAAACCAGCUGUUACGACAGUUGGGGUAGUGGGACAGCAACAAUAGAUAGUCUAGUCUAAACGAAGCAGUUGGCAUACUGCACCAGAGAAGGUGAAAGUCCUGUAAUUGAAAGGCGAAACUGCUAUAGCUGAAUCCCGAGUAGCACGGGGCACGAGGAAUCCCGUGUGAAUCAGCGAGGACCAUCUUCGUAAGGCUAAAUACUACUGUGUGACCGAUAGUGAACCAGUACCGCGAGGGAAAGGUGAAAAGAACCCCGCAAGGGGAGUGAAAUAGAACAUGAAACCGUCAGCUGUCAAGCAGUGGAAGGACGAUUCAACGUCUGACCGCGUGCCUGUUGAAGAAUGAGCCGGCGACUUAUAAGCAGUGGCAGGUGAAGGCGAGAAUGCCACAACCAAAGCGAAAGCGAGUCUGAAUCGGGCGUUAAAGUCACUGUUUAUAGACCCGAACCCGGGUGAUCUAACCAUGUCCAGGAUGAAGCUUGGGUAACACCAAGUGGAGGUCCGAACCGACCGAUGUUGAAAAAUCGGCGGAUGAGGUGUGGUUAGGGGUGAAAUACCAAUCGAACCCGGAGCUAGCUGGUUCUCCCCGAAAUGUGUUGAGGCGCAGCGGUUGUGAAUAUAGCCUGGGGGUAAAGCACUGUUUCGGUGCGGGCUGCCUUAAGCGGUACCAAAUCGAGACAAACUCAGAAUACCAGGUGCACACACAACCAGUGAGACGGUGGGGGAUAAGCUCCAUCGUCAAGAGGGAAACAGCCCAGACCACCAGCUAAGGCCCCCAAAUUGUCACUGAGUGAUCAAGGAGGUGGGAGUGCAUAGACAACCAGGAGGUUUGCCUAGAAGCAGCAAUCCUUGAAAGAGUGCGUAAUAGCUCACUGGUCAAGCGCUGCCGCGCCGAAAAUGAACGGGGCUAAGUGACAUGCCGAAGCUGUGGGAUAUGAAAGUAUCGGUAGGGGAGCGUUCCGCGAUAGGGUGAAGCACUAGCGGCAAGCAGGUGUGGACGAAGCGGAAGUGAGAAUGUCGGCUUGAGUAGCGAAAACAUUGGUGAGAAUCCAAUGCCCCGAAACCCCAAGGGUUCCGACGCCAGGUUCGUCCACGUCGGGUUAGUCAGGACCUAAGGCGAGGCCAAACGGCGUAGUCGAUGGACAACGGGUUAACAAUCCCGUACUGAAACUGAUUUGUGCAGAGGGACGGAGAAGGCAAAAAUCAGCCGGAUGUUGGUUACCGGUUCAACUGUUCGAGGUGAUGAGCAGCGGCGAAAACGCUGUGAGCUGAGGCAGGAGUACGAGCGACCACGGUCGCGAAGUGAUGGAGUCCAGCUUCCAAGAAAAGCUCGGCGGCACGUUAAAUCAGAUUUACCUGUACCCGAAACCGACACAGGUGGGGAGGUAGAGAAUACUCGGGGGCGCGAGAUAACUCUCUCUAAGGAACUCGGCAAAAUGGCCCCGUAACUUCGGGAGAAGGGGUGCCCACCACAAGUGGGUCGCAGUGAAGAGAUCCAGGCGACUGUUUACCAAAAACACAGGUCUCCGCGAAGUCAAAUGACGAGGUAUGGGGGCUGACGCCUGCCCAGUGCCGGAAGGUUAAGGAAGUCGGUCAGGGGGCAACCCUCAAGCUGGCGACUGAAGCCCCGGUGAACGGCGGCCGUAACUAUAACGGUCCUAAGGUAGCGAAAUUCCUUGUCGGGUAAGUUCCGACCCGCACGAAAGGCGUAACGAUCUGGAUGGUGUCUCAGAGAGAGACUCGGCGAAAUAGGAAUGUCUGUGAAGAUACGGACUACCUGCACCAGGACAGAAAGACCCUAUGAAGCUUUACUGUAGCCUGGAAUUGAGUCCGGGCUUGGCUUGCGCAGCAUAGGUGGGAGGCGUUGAGACUGUGCUUGUGGGCACAGUGGAGCCAACGGUGAGAUACCACUCUGGCGAAGCUAGGAUUCUAACCGCGCACCUUUAUCCGGUGCGGGGACAGUUUCAGGUGGGCAGUUUGACUGGGGCGGUCGCCUCCUAAAAGGUAACGGAGGCGCGCAAAGGUUCCCUCAGCACGGUUGGAAAUCGUGCGGCGAGUGUAAAGGCAAUAAGGGAGCUUGACUGCCAGAGCUACAACUCAAGCAGGGACGAAAGUCGGCCUUAGUGAUCCGACGGCACUGCAUGGAAGGGCCGUCGCUCAACGGAUAAAAGUUACUCUAGGGAUAACAGGCUGAUCUCCCCCAAGAGUCCACAUCGACGGGGAGGUUUGGCACCUCGAUGUCGGCUCAUC
rnacentral:sRNA from 1 species